rnacentral:rRNA from 1 species
AUUGAACGCUGGCGGCAUGCCUUACACAUGCAAGUCGAACGGUAACGCGGGGCAACCUGGCGACGAGUGGCGAACGGGUGAGUAAUGUAUCGGAACGUGCCCAGUUGUGGGGGAUAACUGCUCGAAAGAGCAGCUAAUACCGCGUACGACCUGAGGGUGAAAGCGGGGGAUCGCAAGACCUCGCGCAAUUGGAGCGGCCGAUAUCAGAUUAGGUAGUUGGUGGGGUAAAGGCCCACCAAGCCAACGAUCUGUAGCUGGUCUGAGAGGACGACCAGCCACACUGGGACUGAGACACGGCCCAGACUCCUACGGGAGGCAGCAGUGGGGAAUUUUGGACAAUGGACGCAAGUCUGAUCCAGCCAUGCCGCGUGCGGGAAGAAGGCCUUCGGGUUGUAAACCGCUUUUGUCAGGGAAGAAACGCUCUGGGUUAAUACCUCGGGGUAAUGACGGUACCUGAAGAAUAAGCACCGGCUAACUACGUGCCAGCAGCCGCCGCGGUAA